rnacentral:rRNA from 1 species
GUCAUCUCGGUGUAGUGGUCGGGUGUAUGACGUAGGGGGCGGGCGUGGUCCGGAAUUAUGGGGCGUAAAGGGCUCGUAGGCGGUUUGUCGCGUCGGGAGUGAAAACACGUGGCUUAACUCCGUGCCUGCUGCCGAUACGGGCAGACUAGAGGUAUGCAGGGGAGAACGGAAUUCCUGGUGUAGCGGUGAAAUGCGCAGAUGUCAGGAGGAACACCGGUGGCGAAGGCGGUUCUCUGGGCAUUACCUGACGCUGAGGAGCGAAAGUGUGGGGAGCGAACAGGAUUAGAUACCCUUGUAGUC